GAAAUACUAGUUAAACAAUAAUAAUGUCUUGUCAAGACAUAGUCACCAAAGGUGUAUUUCU
rnacentral:tRNA from 1 species